rnacentral:rRNA from 1 species
UAUGAGAGGACGGAGAAGGCUAAAUCAGCCUGGCGUUGGUUGUCCAGGUGAAAGGAUGUAGGCAUGUAUCUUAGGCAAAUCCGGGGUACUCUAUGCUGAGAUCUGAUAGCAAGCUGUACUUGUACAGCGAAGUGGUUGAUGCCAUGCUUCCAGGAAAAGUCUCUAAGCUUCAGUUACACAGGAAUCGUACCCGAAACCGACACAGGUGGUCAGGUCGAGUAGACCAAGGCGCUUGAGAGAACUCUGCUGAAGGAACUAGGCAAAAUGGUACCGUAACUUCGGGAGAAGGUACGCUGUUGUUGGUGAUGGAACUCGCUUCCUGAGCUGACGACAGCCGCAGAAACCAGGCCGCUGCAACUGUUUAUUAAAAACAUAGCACUCUGCAAACACGAAAGUGGACGUAUAGGGUGUGAUGCCUGCCCGGUGCUGGAAGGUUAAUUGAUGGGGUUAGCGUAAGCGAAGCUCUUGAUCGAAGCCCCAGUAAACGGCGGCCGUAACAACAACGGUCCUAAGGUAGCGAAAUUCCUUGUCGGGUAAGUUCCGACCUGCACGAAUGGCAUAAUGAUGGCGGCGCUGUCUCCAGCAGAGGCUCAGUGAAAUCGAAAUCGCUGUGAAGAUGCAGUGUACCCGCGGCUAGACGGAAAGACCCCGUGAACCUUUACUGCAGCUUGACACUGAACUUUGACCUUACUUGUGUAGGAUAGGUGGGAGGCUUUGAAGCUGGAACGCUAGUUCCAGUGGAGCCGUCCUUGAAAUACCACCCUGGUAAUGUUGAGGUUCUAACUCUGUCCCGUGAUCCGGGACGAGGACCGUGUCUGGUGGGUAGUUUGACUGGGGCGGUCUCCUCCUAAAGAGUAACGGAGGAGUACGAAGGUGCGCUCAGCGUGGUCGGAAAUCACGCGUAGAGUAUAAAGGCAAAAGCGCGCUUAACUGCGAGACCCACAAGUCGAGCAGGUACGAAAGUAGGUCUUAGUGAUCCGGUGGUUCUGUAUGGAAGGGCCAUCGCUCAACGGAUAAAAGGUACUCUGGGGAUAACAGGCUGAUACCGCCCAAGAGUUCAUAUCGACGGCGGUGUUUGGCACCUCGAUGUCGGCUCAUCUCAUCCUGGGGCUGAAGCAGGUCCCAAGGGUAUGGCUGUUCGCCAUUUAAAGAGGUACGCGAGCUGGGUUUAGAACGUCGUGAGACAGUUCGGUCCCUAUCUACCGUGGGCGCUGGAAAUUUGAGAGGAUCUGCUCCUAGUACGAGAGGACCAGAGUGGACGAACCUCUGGUGUACCGGUUGUGACGCCAGUCGCAUCGCCGGGUAGCUAUGUUCGGAAGGGAUAACCGCUGAAAGCAUCUAAGCGGGAAGCCUACCUCAAGAUAAGAUUUCCCUAGGACUUUAUGUCCUCUAAAGAGCCG